rnacentral:rRNA from 1 species
ACGGAAGGCAGCAGUGGGGAAUAUUGCACAAUGGGCGAAAGCCUGAUGCAGCGACGCCGCGUGAGUGAAGAAGUAUCUCGGUAUGUAAAGCUCUAUCAGCAGGGAAGAAAAUGACGGUACCUGACUAAGAAGCCCCGGCUAACUACGUGCCAGCAGCCGCGGUAAUACGUAGGGGGCGAGCGUUAUCCGGAAUUACUGGGUGUAAAGGGUGCGUAGGCGGCACAUUAAGUCUGAAGUGAAAGGCUGGGGCUCAACCCCAGAACUGCUUUGGAAACUGAUGAGCUAGAGUACAGGAGAGGAAAGCGGAAUUCCUAGUGUAGCGGUGAAAUGCGUAGAUAUUAGGAAGAACACCAGUGGCGAAGGCGGCUUUCUGGACUGAAACUGACGCUGAGGCACGAAAGCGUGGGGAGCAAACAGGAUUAGAUACCCUGGUA